UAAUAAAAGUUUGCAUCACUGUUUUGUCGCUUCUCUUGCGUUUUGUAUUGUUUCUUUGUGUUGUGAGUUGAACAAUCAUACCUUUUGACAUGGUAUCAGAGCUUUGGCUCUUGAUUCAUCGUCUUCCGCUUGCCUAGAUUUAACUUCUCUGGUUCUGUUCUAAUUUAAGAAAAAAGAGGAUUUGGUGUUUCGUUCCUUUUAUCUCGACUCGUGGGUUUCGGAGUUGGGGUUUCGUUGUUAUUGCAUUAGAUUUGGCAUUUUAGGGCUUCUUCUGAAAUUAGAAGAAGACGAAAGGUGAUACUGCUGCAUUUCUUGUGGUUGGAGUCUUUCUUAUAGAAACCGGAAUCUGAAGAUACGAGCUACUGGUUAUUUUCUAAACAACAAACCCUAAGUAAAGGUUUGUGUAAUUCAGUUCUUUGUUUGGUUGUUCAAUCACUGUAAGUCUUCUUGACAAUUUCUCAGCUGCUGGAGUACUUUGUAAGGCCUUUCUUCCUUAUUUUUUUUUGUGAUUCUGUCACACGAUUUGUGCAUAAUGUUAGGUUGUUUUUUAUAUUACUGUUCAACGUGUUUGUUGACUGUGAAAUAUAUUUCUGAUUGGAAGUCUAUUAUGAUGUAUUUUUGGAUCUAGUGUUCUUGUUGUCAUUGAAGGUUGUUGUUUAUAUGAAUUAAAAGCUU
rnacentral:lncRNA from 1 species